rnacentral:tRNA from 1 species
CAGGGAGACAACAAAAUGUUAAAUAUUAUUAUUUUGUCACCUUAGGUCGAUCGGUAUCUCACGUUCUUAAUUUAUUAAGAAUUUCAUUUUCUAAGUUUUUCUAGGUCACACCCAUUAUUUUUCCUGGGCCAUUAGCUCAGGUGGUUAGAGCGCACCCCUGAUAAGGGUGAGGUCCCUGGUUCAAGUCCAGGAUGGCCCACAUCUCUAUGUUGGGGGUAUAGCUCAGUUGGUAGAGCGCCUGCUUUGCAAGCAGGAUGUCAGCGGUUCGAGUCCGCUUACCUCCACUGAUUACCACCUCUUCCAUAACUGGUAGUAAAGGAAAUGUUUUGAGUUGUGAUCAAAUUCUGAAAGAAUCUAGCUUCCUAAUGAAAUCACUAAGAUGCUGGACUCAUUGAAUUAAUUUCAUUGUUUUCAGAGAACCUUGACAACUGCAUAGAUUAUUUUUAAAGACAAUAAGCAUCUUUAAUGAUGCAGAUUUAUUAUUUGUGCGAAUGCAUUAAUAACAAUUCUAUUAAGCUGAUGCUUCAAUUUUUGAAGUCAUU